rnacentral:rRNA from 1 species
AUUGAACGCUGGCGGCAUGCUCUACACAUGCAAGUCGAACGGUAACAGGCCGCAAGGUGCUGACGAGUGGCGAACGGGUGCGUAAUGCAUCGGAACGUGCCCAGUCGUGGGGGAUAACUACUCGAAAGAGUAGCUAAUACCGCAUACGAUCUAUGGAUGAAAGCGGGGGACCGUAAGGCCUCGCGCGAUUGGAGCGGCCGAUGUCAGAUUAGGUAGUUGGUGGGGUAAAGGCUCACCAAGCCAACGAUCUGUAGCUGGUCUGAGAGGACGACCAGCCACACUGGGACUGAGACACGGCCCAGACUCCUACGGGAGGCAGCAGUGGGGAAUUUUGGACAAUGGGCGCAAGCCUGAUCCAGCAAUGCCGCGUGCAGGAAGAAGGCCUUCGGGUUGUAAACUGCUUUUGUACGGAACGAAACGGCUCUGGUUAAUACCCGGAGCUAAUGACGGUACCGAAAGAAUAAGCACCGGCUAACUACGUG